GGCUUAGUAGCUCAGUUGGUCAGAGCAGGGGACUCAUAAGCCCAAGGUCGGCAGUUCAAAUCUGCCCUGAGCCA
rnacentral:tRNA from 144 species